rnacentral:rRNA from 1 species
UACGUAGGUCCCGAGCGUUGUCCGGAUUUAUUGGGCGUAAAGCGAGCGCAGGUGGUUUAUUAAGUCUGGUGUAAAAGGCAGUGGCUCAACCAUUGUAUGCAUUGGAAACUGGUAGACUUGAGUGCAGGAGAGGAGAGUGGAAUUCCAUGUGUAGCGGUGAAAUGCGUAGAUAUAUGGAGGAACACCGGUGGCUAAAGCGGCUCUCUGGCCUGUAACUGACACUGAGGCUCGAAAGCGUGGGGAGCAAACAGG